rnacentral:lncRNA from 1 species
UGAUGGCUUGGUUGAUUUUAGUGAAAGGUAUGGAGAUUGCGGUCUCGAAGAAGACGUGGGCUGGCAGCUCGGGAUCCCAUGGACAGGUAAACUUGUCACCUUGUGGUGAGGUGCUCUUGUUUUGACACCCCCCUCCUGUUUCCAUCAGGUGAUUGUAUCCUACCACGGGGUAACCUUUGAAAGUACCAUUGUCAUUCACGUAACCAUCCCCUGUGGCGACUCUGUUACGGACGUUGUUAAGGCUCGUUUCACAAACUUCGGAUCUGUUGAAUGCGGCCUCUCUCUUCUCAGCUGCAGAUCAAUAAGCUCUGGGUAAGAUCAAGUAAAUAAGUAGAAAUCUCGGAAUACUGACCAACUCCUCUCCAGAAUGUGAUAGAAGAUGCCAGUCGAGGAGUGUAGUUGAUGUUGCGGCCUUCACCAGGCGUGGUGACCGGGACUUUCUUACUGUAUGUAGCAAUGGUCUUACCUUGAUUUAUAUGCCAGUUGAUCUCACCAAAGUCGUACUUGUGAGCCAGCUCCAGGAUAUCGUCUUCGAGAGUGGUGUCAUUCCUCAUUUCCUUUGUAACCGAGCGCUUGAACAUCGGUUCCACUGCAAAAGUCACUUGGGAAAUGGCUCCAAGCACACCAAUUGAUAGCUUUGCCGCAUUCAAGUCUUCAUCCGACGACGUAAGCUUGACCACUUUGGCAUAGCCUUCCUCUUUCUUGGCAGGAACAACAAGACUAAUCCCUACUACGUACUCGUGCAGGGCACCUCCUCGACCAUGGAGACCGCUACCGUGAGCUCCAGUGCUUAUGGCACCCGCAACGGAGAUGCCAUUG